GAUGAAGAACGUAGCGAAAUGCGAUACGUAAUGUGAAUUGCAGAAUUCAGUGAAUCAUCGAAUCUUUGAACGCACAUUGCGCCCCUUGGUAUUCCGAGGGGCAUGCCUGUUCGAGCGUCAUUUCAACCAUCAAGCCCUAGGCUUGCGUUGGAGCCCUGCGGCUGCCGCAGGCUCCCAAAUCCAGUGGCGGGCUCGUCGUCGUACCGAGUGCAGUAAACAUCCUCGCUCAGGGAACGUGACGGGUUCUUGCCGUGAAACCCCCCACAUAUCAAGGUUGACCUCGGAUCAGGUAGGAAUACCCGCUGAACUUAAGCAUAUCAAUAAGCGGAGGA
rnacentral:misc_RNA from 1 species